rnacentral:rRNA from 1 species
UUGUAUGGUUAAGUGACUAAGCGUACACGGUGGAUGCCUGGGCAGUCAGAGGCGAUGAAGGACGUACUAACUUGCGAUAAGCGCAGAUAAGGCAGUAAGAGCCGUUUGAGUCUGCGAUUUCCGAAUGGGGAAACCCAACUGCAUAAGCAGUUACUGUUAACUGAAUACAUAGGUUAACAGAGCAAACCGGGGGAACUGAAACAUCUAAGUACCCCGAGGAGAAGAAAUCAACCGAGAUUCCGGUAGUAGCGGCGAGCGAACCUGGAUUAGCCCUUAAGCGCUCGGUGAAGUAGGUGAACAAGCUGGAAAGCUUGGCGAUACAGGGUGAUAGCCCCGUAACCGACGCUUCAUCGAGCGUGAAAUCGAGUAGGGCGGGACACGUGAUAUCCUGUCUGAAUAUGGGGGGACCAUCCUCCAAGGCUAAAUACUCCUGACUGACCGAUAGUGAACCAGUACCGUGAGGGAAAGGCGAAAAGAACCCCUGCGAGGGGAGUGAAAUAGAACCUGAAACCGUGUACGUACAAGCAGUAGGAGCACCUUCGUGGUGUGACUGCGUACCUUUUGUAUAAUGG